UACGAAGGGGCUAGCGUUGUUCGGAUUUACUGGGCGUAAAGCGCACGUAGGCGGACUAUUAAGUCAGGGGUGAAAUCCCGGGCUCAACCCCGGAACUGCCUUUGAUACUGGUAGUCUUGAGUUCGAGAGAGGUGAGUGGAAUUCCGAGUGUAGAGGUGAAAUUCGUAGAUAUUCGCAAGAACACCAGUGGCGAAGGCGGACUCACUGGCCCAUAACUGACGCUGAGGCACGAAAGCGUGGG
rnacentral:rRNA from 1 species